CCCGCAGGUCUUGUAUCCACGGUUGUAAGUGCCCAAGGUAAUUAGAACAGGAUCUUAAACUUGCAGCCAGCCAACUGAAUCAUUAAAAAACAACCACAAAGAAAACAGACACCAGCAGUAACACCCCAGAGACAAAUCAAGAACCCAAAGUAUAUUUUGCAGGAAGGGCUAUAGUUCUUGAAGUCUGGAAAUACUUGU
ensembl:misc_RNA